AUUCAGCUGACGAGUCCCAAACAGGACGGAACGCUUGUCCUGGAU
rfam:Schistosoma rodhaini strain Burundi genome assembly, scaffold: SROB_contig0001397